GUGUGAGAUAUGAAAGUCGUUCAGCUGUUGGAGAAAUGGAAGGACAUAAAACAGAAGCAGCAAAUAAAACUGCAAGAGUGACCCUAAAAUUUUAUUUCUGGUCUAGGCAGCUGUAAAUCCUUGAACGGUGUGUGAAGUGCACUGGAAUGGUGACUAUUUGGGCAACACAAACUAUUAGGAGAUGUGAUAAAAAUGAAAUCCAAAUAGUAAACAUAUAGGAAAUAAGAUGAAACUACAAAAUACCAAGCCUCUGAGAACACCAAUAGGCCUUAAUGGCCCUGACAAGCCUCACCUGGAGCUUCUGCCCACACCUCUGUAUGUGGACUCAUAAGCCUCAUUUGAACUCAGGCUUAAGACCUAAGGUGUGGUUUGAAUGAUGCUGUGGGUGUUCCUCUGACUCCUGGAUAGCUCUCAGACCUAUAUUGUGGACAGUUUUUCUACUGGACGGACUUCUUGCAUGAACCUGGUUCAUUGCUUUGCCUUUUCUGGGACUGCUAGAGAGUCUUAUUACAGACUCAGGAAGAUUUGGUAGCAGGACAGCGGAGCUGACAACACCAGGAGUAAGAAGACAUGGGGAGCAGCAUUACCAGCUUCCCUCGUGCUGCUGCUCUAACACAGUAUGCUGCUUAGUGACAAAAGUCUCAAGCUUCCUUCAUCUCUGGCUGGAAAAAGCUUUCCACACUGGACAAGUAAUGAACUCCAAAGAACAAUGAAAUCAUCAAAGCUGAGGCUCACCCAUCAGAAGGAUCUUAUGAGGGACAUGAAUGUUAGAGAUCAGCAUGACAAGACAUAAAAAUUAUAGCCUGCCAAGGAAGGACACAGAAAAAGAGAGAAGUCACGACAUUGAGAUGGGAGAGUGAGAAAAUAAACAGCAGCACAACAGGAAACUACAGGGAAGUAGUGACCAUCCUUGUCUACAUAUGCCCUCAUCUGCUUGAUUCACUUAACUAUUUGGUGGGCAAGUAACAGAAUGCACAACAACUACUCUGCAGCAAUGUGUUUGCUGAUUGAAUGACGAGAGUGUAUCUGCUGUCCAGCCAGCUAUUUAUGAUGGGUAUGGACACUACUGUUUAGCUGCCUUUUCCUGGGAAAGGACACUGAGUGUAAAAUGACAUGUGCAAAAUUGAUGCAAUUGGUUUUUAUGUCUGAAAUAUAUUUUUACUUUUACAUAUGUACUUUUACAGAACACUCUGGCCCAUAGAGAUGAACAUGUUGUCCCUAAGUCAUGUCGUGAAAAGAUCUUAACUUUUUAUUUAUCCAGCCAGACCACAUUUUUCUUACUGAUGUAGAAUUAGGAUUGAAAGUUAAGUGCUGGCUAGACAAUAACUGGACAAGAUUGUAUUUUUGUACCAUAAAUUAAGUUACAGAAUGCAGGUUGAGAGAGGCUGGGAGCUCUUGGGUUAAGACUUGGAUUUUAAUGCAAUAGAAUACUUUAGGUGUUGCGUAAGUAUGGCGAUGUUCUAGAGGAUGUUAAUUAUAUUUUCCUCAUUUUCCACAAGAAAUAUUGAAGACAUAAACUUGUCUUAUCAGACUAUGACUAAGUAAAUCUUUGCUAAUCAGCAGUGUGUAAGAAGCAAAAAUGGUAACUCAGCUUCUCACCCAGCCUCAGCAAGAUGCUUCUGUCUCAUCUUAAUCUCUCAGAAAAUAACAGAGGAGGCAUGCAGCUAGUGGCUGUGUCUAAAAAGCAGUACAUUUGUGGUUUUGAUACAACCUGCAGACAUGGUUGUUCUGUGGUCCAACCAUUGGACCUCUUUCUGCUGCUUCUUCUAGUUCAUCAUGGCAUAGAGGGACAUGUUUAGAAGACUCCCAGUUCUUCAGGUUACACAUGCCAGUUGGUAAGUGAGCAGAGUAUAAAUUCGGAGACUAGUUUGUUAACCCAGAGAUGCUUCCCUGAGAGAGCAAACCUAGACAAACGGUGGGUCAUGACUGAGUCCUAGGAUGUGAUAAAAUAUCAGGUAAACAGAUUUUCCUCUUCUUAGUUGUCCUUAACACAGCCUUUGUCUGCAUUCCCUAACACAGACUCACUUUCCCCUAAUUUGAUAGUCCUGGCAUUUUCCUUUAGUGUCAUAAUCCCCCAAAUCCCAGCUAUUUGGGAUCCUUGAGACAAAGUGCUUCCCUUGGUCACAUCCAGUCAUGUUAACCUCUUAUUUCAAUAUAGACUUUACUUUCAAAACUGUGGAGACCAAGUCUGCAUGCCUGCCUUGUAGAGGGAGCAACGUCUGUGGUUUCCCUGUGCACUUUGGCUUGCACAUCCACCUUGUCUUUAUUUUAGGCCUUUCCUAAUCUGUGGCCUAACUACAACCAAGCCACAGAGCUGGGAACUUGGCAUUCAAAAUUCUGGAAACUCUCUGUGAAGCAGCCUUUGAUUUUUGUACGGAUUUUCAAGACAUAAGCGUAAUUCUGUUUGAGCAUGAUUAGGAUUAUAUAUUCCACUGAAAAAAUCCAGUCCUUAAAAAGUUUUCCAGGUUCAGUUAUUCAGGCAACUUUCAACAGCUGAACCCAUUGAAUCUGGAAAUAAAAUUCCUAGUAUCUUUUGUGCAGAAAAUAGGAAGUCCUUUUGUGAUGUGAGAUGCUACUGAAGCCUUGAAUGAAAGGGUUAAUUUAUAAAAAGGCACUGGCUCUUAGUAGUUGCUAGGUAACAUUGACCUUUUCCCAAAGGCUAUACUCCACCAACUAGGGUGUUUCCGCAAAGGUAAUGAUUCUGUCUGGGGUUUACUCAACGAGUUGGUGGUAACCUAUGCUGCAGGGAAGUUGAGAGGAUAUAGUUUUGGAACUAUCAUUUUCCACCCAUUGUGCUGUUCCAUUCAUAUUUCUCUCUCUUCUCUAAAAUAAAAAUAAAAAAAAUUCAAACAAACAACAGCAACAAACCACAGUGUCUCUAAUUUAGCUGUGAAACCACAUCACUAUAGCUGCAACAACUGUCUGUCCUCCCAUGCAGACUGUGCACUAGAAAAGUGAAUGACCACCUGUGCCUGUGACUAUAAGAAGUCCCAAAUUCUAGUUGCGAAGGCUUCUCUUCAGAGUACUAAAAAUAAAUAAAAAGGAAAUAUGCCCAUUUUCAAGGUGAUUAUUGAAACCUCUUUACUUUAGAAUGAGUACGAACUUUCUACAGCGGUAGAUUUUUAAAGUAAGAUUUAUUUUUUUAUCUUCUGUAUUAGGAUCACUACUUAGAGUUAUUUCUUUCUACUACUGUGUUUUGUUAUAUUUUUAACAGAAAAUAAAAAAAUGCUUGAAAAUACAUAUAUU